GAUCUGUGGCUCAGUGGCAGAGCAGCUGCUUGGCCUGCAGAAGGUCACUGGUUCAAUCCCCGGGAAAGUCA